rnacentral:rRNA from 1 species
CUACGGGAGGCAGCAGGCGAGAAAACUUUGCAAUGUGCGAAAGCACGACAAGGUUAAUCCGAGUGGUUUGUGCUAAACGAACCUUUUGACAGUCCUAGAAACACUGUUGAAUAAGGGGUGGGCAAGUUCUGGUGUCAGCCGCCGCGGUAAAACCAGCACCUCAAGUGGUCAGGAUGAUUAUUGGGCCUAAAGCAUCCGUAGCCGGCUCUGUAAGUUUUCGGUUAAAUCUGUACGCUCAACGUACAGGCUGCCGGGAAUACUGCAGAGCUAGGGAGUGGGAGAGGUAGACGGUACUCGGUAGGAAGGGGUAAAAUCCUUUGAUCUAUUGAUGACCACCUGUGGCGAAGGCGGUCUACCAGAACACGUCCGACGGUGAGGGAUGAAAACUGGGGGAGCAAACCGGAUUAGAUACCCUGGUAGUC